rnacentral:rRNA from 1 species
GACGAACGCUGGCGGCGUGCCUAAUACAUGCAAGUUGAGCGCUGAAGGUUGGUACUUGUACCAACUGGAUGAGCAGCGAACGGGUGAGUAACGCGUGGGGAAUCUGCCUUUGAGCGGGGGACAACAUUUGGAAACGAAUGCUAAUACCGCAUAAAAACUUUAAACACAAGUUUUAAGUUUGAAAGAUGCAAUUGCAUCACUCAAAGAUGAUCCCGCGUUGUAUUAGCUAGUUGGUGAGGUAAAGGCUCACCAAGGCGAUGAUACAUAGCCGACCUGAGAGGGUGAUCGGCCACAUUGGGACUGAGACACGGCCCAAACUCCCACGGGAGGCAGCAGUAGGGAAUCUUCGGCAAUGGACGAAAGUCUGACCGAGCAACGCCGCGUGAGUGAAGAAGGUUUUCGGAUCGUAAAACUCUGUUGGUAGAGAAGAACGUUGGUGAGAGUGGAAAGCUCAUCAAGUGACGGUAACUACCCAGAAAGGGACGGCUAACUACGUG